GACGAACGCUGGCGGCGUGCUUAACACAUGCAAGUCGAACGGAAAGGCCCAGCUUGCUGGGUGCUCGAGUGGCGAACGGGUGAGUAACACGUGGGUGAUCUGCCUCUAACUUCGGGAUAAGCUUGGGAAACUGGGUCUAAUACCGGAUAGGACAAUCGUUUAGUGUCGGUUGUGGAAAGUUUUUUCGGUUAGGGAUGAGCCCGCGGCCUAUCAGCUUGUUGGUGGGGUAAUGGCCUACCAAGGCGUCGACGGGUAGCCGGCCUGAGAGGGUGGACGGCCACAUUGGGACUGAGAUACGGCCCAGACUCCUACGGGAGGCAGCAGUGGGAAUAUUGCACAAUGGGCGCAAGCCUGAUGCAGCGACGCCGCGUGGGGGAUGACGGCCUUCGGGUUGUAAACCUCUUUCGUCAGGGACGAAGCUUUGGUGACGGUACCUGUAUAAGAAGCACCGGCUAACUACGUG
rnacentral:rRNA from 1 species